rnacentral:rRNA from 1 species
GACGAACGCUGGCGGCGUGCUUAACACAUGCAAGUCGAACGGAAAGGCCUGCUUUCCCUUGUGGAUUGCGGGUACUCGAGUGGCGAACGGGUGAGUAACACGUGAGUGAUCUGCCCCCAACUUGGGUAUAAGCCUGGGAAACUGGGUCUAAUUCCCGAUAGGACUGCAGGGUGGUGCCUGUGGUGGAAAACGAUUUUCUAGUGGUUGGGGAUGAGCUCGCGGCCUAUCAGCUUGUUGGUGGGGUAAUGGCCUACCAAGGCGGCGACGGGUAGCCGGCCUGAGAGUGUGGACGGCCACAUUGGGACUGAGGUACGGCCCAGACUCCUACGGGAGGCAGCAGUGGGGAAUAUUGCCCAAUGGGCGGAAGCCUGAUGCAGCGACGCCGCGUGGGGGAUGACGGCCUUCGGGUUGUAAACUCCUUUCGACCGCGAGGAAGCCACCUGGUUGGAAGGGUGGUGACGUUAGUGGUAGAAGAAGCACCGGCUAACUACGUG